GAUGAACGCUGGCGGCGUGCCUAAUACAUGCAAGUCGAGCGAACGGACGAGAAGCUUGCUUUUCUGAUGUUAGCGGCGGACGGGUGAGUAACACGUGGAUAACCUACCUAUAAGACUGGGAUAACUUCGGGAAACCGGAGCUAAUACCGGAUAAUAUUUUGAACCGCAUGGUUCAAAAGUGAAAGACGGUCUUGCUGUCACUUAUAGAUGGAUCCGCGCUGCAUUAGCUAGUUGGUAAGGUAACGGCUUACCAAGGCAACGAUGCAUAGCCGACCUGAGAGGGUGAUCGGCCACACUGGAACUGAGACACGGUCCAGACUCCUACGGGAGGCAGCAGUAGGGAAUCUUCCGCAAUGGGCGAAAGCCUGACGGAGCAACGCCGCGUGGGUGAUGAAGGUCUUCGGAUCGUAAAACUCUGUUAUUAGGGAAGAACAUGUGUGUAAGUAACUGUGCACAUCUUGACGGUACCUAAUCAGAAAGCCACGGCUAACUACGUG
rnacentral:rRNA from 1 species